rnacentral:rRNA from 1 species
UGUCUCCUACGGGACGCAGCAGUGAGGAAUAUUGGUCAAUGGGCGAGAGCCUGAACCAGCCAAGUCGCGUGAGGGAAGACGGUCCUAUGGAUUGUAAACCUCUUUUGCCGGGGAGCAAAAAGCGGUACGUGUACCGCAUCGAGAGUACCCGGAGAAAAAGCAUCGGCUAACUCCGUGCCAGCAGCCGCGGUAAUACGGAGGAUGCGAGCGUUAUCCGGAUUUAUUGGGUUUAAAGGGUGCGCAGGCGGGAGAUCAAGUCAGCGGUAAAAUGUCGGGGCUCAACCCCGGCCGGCCGUUGAAACUGG